CUUUAUAGCAUAUAAAAUACAAUAGGGCGCCUCGGAAGUAAUGCGCAAGCAGUCCCCGUGGCGUCGUCGAUUCAAACCGCAAAAAAAAGCAUAUAAAAUACAAUAUUCAAUAUUCAAUAAGAAAUUCAAACUAAGCCAUGGUAAAUAAUUGUUGAUUUGACCGAUGCUGUCUAGUAAAUGGAGAUAAUUGUCUAUUGAGAAAAUGAAAGUAGCUCUACUAUAGAAUAAUUACGCAAAACAAAAACGAGAAUGACGAAAAUAUAACAUAAAAUACAAUCUACGUACCAAUCAACAUUAUACCUUGCAAUGUUACAGACAGAACCAUAAAUCCCAUAAGCUACAUACAAAUUCAAUACGUGAACUGAACACUAUAUUGAUUUUAAAAUUUAAUUUAUUAAGUAUAGAGAUUACAUUUCCAUCGUAAUCUAAGAAAGGUAUCUUGAUGUUUUUUUUAUCAUUUUUAAUAAUAAAUGGUUAUAAAAUAUAAACUAUUAUUAUAUA